AUACCCAAGUGCCGGGCCGGAUUUCUUCGUUGAAUGAAAACAAAUGACAUUCCAGGGCGGCCGGAAGCAAUUUGCAUCCAGAACAAACUUUGACUGGAGUUACAAUGACCUCUGCAGGGAAUUGAAAGACAUUACAGAUGUCUAUGAUUUUGUGGAGGCAAUCAAUAUAUAGCUAUAGGAGAAGCCCUACAAGCAGGACUGAAGAAGGACUGUAAUGUUGUUGGAGUUGAUGGCAGAAAUGACGUGAUCAGGUCCUGCAACAGACUUCUCUAUUAGAUUAAAUAAAAUAUUGAGUUCCAACUGAACAGAAGUAAUUGAAAUAUGUACCAGUCUUGUUUGUAUUCUUUUUCAUGAGCCAAUAAAGUUACGUCAUCUCAUUGAUGAUAAAACAAGGAAA